CCCGUUAGUCCACAGGUGAUUUAGAUCAGGACCCGCGGGUUCGCGUCUGGACGCUGCAGCGCCGCCAUCCGCCCGCCGUCUCCCUCCCCUCUACUCCUCUACCGCCGCCGCUCCUACUCUCCUCCGGCCUGCCAGCACCGCGCCGUCCGCCACUCGCAGUUCUUAAACAGCCUCGGGAGCAGAAAAUUUCCAUCUGUUGGCAUCUCCUCUCCCAUCCAGACGACCAGCGAUGAAGAUGGUGGUCAAGAACGUGCGGCGGUCGUGAGGCUGGUCUCCCUCCCCAGUGAGAUAUCCUUCCCCUGCGGCCUCCCCUUACUCCAGUUCCUCGUCGACGAUGGUAAAUAAAACCUUCAUUACAUUUGUACGAUUACAAUCACGACGCAGGGCGUCGACUAAGAAAUCAGGUUUUUUACCCAGCCAGCAAACAGUGAGGCUUUGAGUUCUAGCAAACUUAGCUAAGCUAUCAGAAACACAAUUUUGGUCACGAGAACAUUUCUGGAUAGUCACGCCAGGCCGUUGGCUUACAAGCUGUUGGAUAGAUGUGACCCGAUUCCUGUACAGGAACAGGUUGGUGCUUCCAGGAGUAUUAUUUCACAUUAGGUGCCCUCUUGCCUUGAUUGACUAUUUGACUUGGUGUUUACCCAAGGACACAUUUUUUGAUCAAUCUCACAAAUUAAAGUUGCAGGAUAACCAUUGUGUUCUUAGCCAUGUGGAACACCAUAGAUUGGUUGAUACUCCCUUAAAAUCAGGCAUGUUUCGUUGGUUUGUGAGGAAUAAUCACAAAUAUUGGUCAGAUUCCUAAUUUAGUGCACUAUCUUUGUCUGAAGCAAGACUAAUGUUGACUGAUGAACUUGCAUAAACAAGUUUGUAUCUAUCAAUUAGCACGAAUGCAGCAGCAUUUGGUAUGCUUGAGAGCUUAUACACUAUGCAAAAUAUUUGAAGCUGUCACUAAAGCAACACUCAACUUGUCCUUGCAGAUUCAUGAGUCAUUAACUAUGGAAAAACGAAGCAAAGAUCAGAAAGUAGGUACAUCAUCAUCUGACCAAGGCCAAGCUAAUCUAAAUAAAAGGAGGCAUGAACAGAAAUCCAUCCGACAAUCCAAAUUAACUCUCAGAAGAGAUGGUGUGCUGCAUGAGAUAUCUUCGUACAUUUAUCUCAACCAUCCAAAGUUAUUAUCAAAGAUGUCUUAUUGACAAUCCAUCUUAAUGAGCGCUUGCACCUUCUGUGGGUUUGUGAAAAAUUCUGCAAAGAGAUCAGAAAUAGCGACAUGAACCAACUAGGGAGGAUCAUUAUCAAAUGCACAACCUACCUUCAAUUACAGGCCAGAAAUGAUUUGCCCCCGCGGAGAGCCAACUGGCGGUAGCACGAAAUUAAAAUAACUGCCUCUGAAAACGUGCUUGACCAUGCAAAUAUUUGUACCUUAAUUUAAUGUAUAUUUGUUGCACCGACUAUCGUUGCUUCUUUAUGGUCUAUUUGAAAACAUUACUGUUUGAUAUAUGGUAUUCCAUGUAAAACAAUCACUUAGGUUGAUGAAAACAAAAUCGCCUGGUUAACUUAUAUUUUGGAACAUCUCAUUCUAUAACUAGAACUUGUGA